UACGUAGGGGGCAAGCGUUGUUCGGAAUUACUGGGCGUAAAGCGCGUGUAGGCGGGUCUUUAAGUCAGGGGUGAAAUGCCAAGGCUCAACCUUGGAACUGCCUUUGAUACUGGAGACCUUGAGUCCGGGAGAGGUGAGUGGAAUUGCGAGUGUAGAGGUGAAAUUCGUAGAUAUUCGCAAGAACACCAGUGGCGAAGGCGGCUCACUGGCCCGGAACUGACGCUGAGAUGCGAAAGCGUGGGGAGCAAACAGG
rnacentral:rRNA from 1 species